UACGAAGGGGGCUAGCGUUGCUCGGAAUCACUGGGCGUAAAGGGUGCGUAGGCGGGGCUUUAAGUCAGGGGGGAAAUCCUGGAGCUCAACUCCAGAACUGCCUUUGAUACUGAAGAUCUUGAGUUCGGGAGAGGUGAGUGGAACUGCGAGUGUAGAGGUGAAAUUCGUAGAUAUUCGCAAGAACACCAGUGGCGAAGGCGGCCUGCUGGGCUGUUGCUGACGCUGAGGCGCGACAGCGUGGGGAGCAAACAGG
rnacentral:rRNA from 1 species